CCUGAGUACGACGGAGCACGUGAAAUUCCGUCGGAAUCUGGGAGGACCAUCUCCUAAGGCUAAAUACUCUCUAGUGACCGAUAGUGAACCAGUACCGUGAGGGAAAGGUGAAAAGUACCCCGGAAGGGGAGUGAAAGAGAACUUGAAACCGUGUGCUUACAAGUAGUCAGAGCCCGUUAAUGGGUGAUGGCGUGCCUUUUGUAGAAUGAACCGGCGAGUUACGAUCUGAUGCAAGGUUAAGCAGAAAAUGUGGAGCCGUAGCGAAAGCGAGUCUGAAUAGGGCGAAUGAGUAUUUGGUCGUAGACCCGAAACCAGGUGAUCUACCCUUGGUCAGGUUGAAGUUCAGGUAACACUGAAUGGAGGACCGAACCGACUUACGUUGAAAAGUGAGCGGAUGAACUGAGGGUAGCGGAGAAAUUCCAAUCGAACUUGGAGAUAGCUGGUUCUCUCCGAAAUAGCUUUAGGGCUAGCCUCAAGUGAUGAUUAUUGGAGGUAGAGCACUGUUUGGACGAGGGGCCCCUCUCGGGUUACCGAAUUCAGACAAACUCCGAAUGCCAAAUAAUUUAACUUGGGAGUCAGAAUGUGGGUGAUAAGGUCCAUAUUCGAAAGGGAAACAGCCCAGACCACCAGCUAAGGUCCCAAAAUAUAUGUUAAGUGGAAAAGGAUGUGGCGUUGCCCAGACAACUAGGAUGUUGGCUUAGAAGCAGCCAUCAUUUAAAGAGUGCGUAAUAGCUCACUAGUCGAGUGACACUGCGCCGAAAAUGUACCGGGGCUAAACAUAUUACCGAAGCUGUGGAUUGUCCUUUGGACAAUGGUAGGAGAGCGUUCUAAGGGCGUUGAAGCAUGAUCGCAAGGACAUGUGGAGCGCUUAGAAGUGAGAAUGCCGGUGUGAGUAGCGAAAGACGGGUGAGAAUCCCGUCCACCGAUUGACUAAGGUUUCCAGAGGAAGGCUCGUCCGCUCUGGGUUAGUCGGGUCCUAAGCUGAGGCCGACAGGCGUAGGCGAUGGAUAACAGGUUGAUAUUCCUGUACCACCAUUAUUCGUUUUAAGCGAUGGGGGGACGCAGUAGGAUAGGCGAAGCGUGCUGUUGGAGUGCACGUCCAAGCAGUGAGAUUGAGUGUUAGGCAAAUCCGGCACUCUUAAGAUUGAGCUGUGAUGGGGAGAGGAACUUGUUCCUCGAGUCGUUGAUUUCACACUGCCGAGAAAAGCCUCUAGCUAGAAUAACGGUGCCCGUACCGCAAACCGACACAGGUAGUCAAGAUGAGAAUUCUAAGGUGAGCGAGCGAACUCUCGUUAAGGAACUCGGCAAAAUGACCCCGUAACUUCGGGAGAAGGGGUGCUCUUUGAGGUUCACGCUUCGAAGAGCCGCAGUGAAUAGGCCCAAGCGACUGUUUAUCAAAAACACAGGUCUCUGCUAAACCGUAAGGUGACGUAUAGGGGCUGACGCCUGCCCGGUGCUGG
rnacentral:rRNA from 1 species